rnacentral:rRNA from 1 species
AGAGUUUGAUCAUGGCUCAGGAUGAACGCUAGCGGCAGGCCUAAUACAUGCAAGUCGGACGGGAUCCAGCUGGUAGCUUGCUACCGGUUGGUGAGAGUGGCGCACGGGUGCGUAACGCGUGAGCAACCUACCCAUAUCAGGGGGAUAGCCCGAAGAAAUUCGGAUUAACACCGCAUGACACAGAUUUACCGCAUGGUUUAUUUGUCAAAUAUUCAUAGGAUAUGGAUGGGCUCGCGUGACAUUAGCUAGUUGGUGGGGUAACGGCCCACCAAGGCGACGAUGUCUAGGGGCUCUGAGAGGAGAAUCCCCCACACUGGUACUGAGACACGGACCAGACUCCUACGGGAGGCAGCAGUAAGGAAUAUUGGUCAAUGGGGGCAACCCUGAACCAGCCAUGCCGCGUGCAGGAUGACUGCCCUAUGGGUUGUAAACUGCUUUUGUUAGGGAAUAAACCCCACUACGUGUAGUGGGCUGAAUGUACCUAAAGAAUAAGGAUCGGCUAACUCCGUGCCAGCAGCCGCGGUAAUUC